rnacentral:rRNA from 1 species
UUAAUAAUUUAUAUAUAAUAUUUGAUUAAUAUUUAUAUAAUAUUAACAUAAUUCAUAUUACUAAAUUUAUUAGUAUAUGAAAUUUUACUUUGAGAAAAUUAGAGUGCUUAAAGCAGGCAUAUGCCUUGAAUACUCCAGCAUGGAAUAAUAUUAAAGAUUUUUAUCUUUCUUAUUGGUUCUAAGACAAAAAUAAUGAUUAAUAGGGACAGUUGGGGGCAUUUGUAUUUAACAGUCAGAGGUGAAAUUCUUAGAUUUGUUAAAGACAAACUAAUGCGAAAGCAUUUGCCAAGGAUGUUUUCAUUAAUCAAGAACGAAAGUUAGGGGAUCGAAGACGAUCAGAUACCGUCGUAGUCUUAACCAUAAACUAUGCCAACUAGAGAUUGGAGGUUGUU